GGUGGCAUGCGCCUGUAGUCCUAGAUACUCAGGAGGCUGAGGCUAGAGGAUCGCUUGAGCACAGGAGGUCUGGGCUGCUAUAUGCUAUGCCAAUUGUGUGUUUACACUAAGUUCAACAUCAAUAUGGUGACCCUCUGGGAACAGGGGACCACCAGAUUGCCUAACGAGGGGUGAAACAGCCCUGGUCAGAAAUGGAGCAGGUCAAAACUCCUGUACUAAUCAGUAGUGGAAUUGUGCCUGUGAAUAGCCACUGUAACAAAGACAUUGAAGAAAACAACAU
ensembl:misc_RNA Metazoa_SRP Metazoan signal recognition particle RNA